rnacentral:rRNA from 1 species
CAGCCGCCGCGGGAAUACAGAGGGUGCGAGCGUUAAUCGGAUUUACUGGGCGUAAAGCGUGCGUAGGCGGCUUUUUAAGUCGGAUGUGAAAUCCCUGAGCUUAACUUAGGAAUUGCAUUCGAUACUGGGAAGCUAGAGUAUGGGAGAGGAUGGUAGAAUUCCAGGUGUAGCGGUGAAAUGCGUAGAGAUCUGGAGGAAUACCGAUGGCUAAGGCAGCCAUCUGGCCUAAUACUGACGCUGAGGUACGAAAGCAUGGGGAGCAAACAGGAUUAGAUACCCCUGUAGUCCCUGUCUCUUAUAC